rnacentral:tRNA from 2 species
GGUCUCGUGGCCGAGCGGCUAGGCGGCGGUCUGCAAAACCGUAUACAGCGGUUCGAAUCCGCUCGAGACCU